rnacentral:lncRNA from 10 species
CUGUAUGAAGUGCCUUCCCCUGUGCCUGGCUCAUAGUUCUGGCCUUUGGGAAGACUCAGAGACACUGAGAGACCCUGCCCCCCAUUUCUUCUCUGACCCAGGGCACAGGUUACCUUCAGCGCCAUGGCCUUUUCAUCAAGGUUCGCCUUCUGGGAGCAAAAGGAAAGUUGGAUUUUAAAAUCUUUAUGUUUUUCCUGUGUGCUUGGCAUGUUGUAUCUGCAGGCAGGAGACUGGCUUGUGGGAGAGGGAGCUUUGGAAGCUAGAGAUGGAUUGGGGCAUGUGUGUAUAAUUGGGGGUGGCAGGGAGAAUGACGGGGGCUGGUGAACUCCCUAUUCUGGCUGGAUGGGCUCCUGCACUGAGUCAUGCUUCUCCCCUAAGCCCCACCUCUGGUAAGGUGAGCUGCCUUUUGUCCUGCUGGUGUCCCUCUGGGUUAACCCCUCCACACCCUUCCCACCACCCUGCUGCCUUGACUCACCCCUGGAACGUGGGCUGCUGUGGAGGGACCGCUGGAACUGGGUCUCCCUGAUCCUGGGGGCUGCAGUGGGUUAGGAGGACAAGGGGCCAAGGGUGGGGAGUCAGGCCAGUUGGCCACCUGGGUCCAGAGGGUGAUUCAGGCCACAGACUUGGGACUGCCUGUGUGUGUGCCUUUAUGCGUGUGCAUAGUCCCCAGCUGGGCAGUGACCUACAACAGC